UGUCAGGAGUUGCAGUGACGGUGGAAGUCAAUCCUAUCAUAUCCAUGGGAUCCAUCGCUGGGAGGAAUCUGCCUGCUACCGCGGGAAUCUGUCAAAGGACAAAUUAAAGAAAAAAAGGCCUCCCAAGACGCAGACUGGUCAUUAAAAUGCAGACGGAUGAAUGGACUGAAAGAUUCCCAGCUGAAUUGAUGGAGCAGGUCCCUUUUCUGUCUGCCAACACCUCUCCAAUGCCAAAACCCAAACAAGAGG